UUUUUGGAAGCGGUGCCGUUUAGUUUCACUCACUGGAAUCCCAUGUUGGAGUCAUUCCCUCCUUCCAGUGCGUCAUUGAAGGCGUUCAAAGAUGUCCUCCGUUUGGAUAAGUUUGAGUCUGUUGUAUCUCCUACAACACAGCGUUUCAUCAGAUGAAGCGGUGCUGCUGACUUGCCCCAAGAAAGUUUCAAUGAGCUCUGGCGACACAGUUACAGAAAACUGUUCAAUUAAAUGGAAAACUAACAGGAGUUGUAACAUUACAAAUUCCUUGAUUCACACAAAUGGCACCAUCACAGAAUGUGGAAGUACUUCAGGAAUGUACAAGUGUGCCUGGAAUAACUCCAUUCUGAAACUGGUGAUUACUGGCCAAAAAGAGGUCAAUAUCACAGUUGAGAUUCACUCAAACUGUGGUUUGGCUUCUGAUCUUAUCCAUGUGCAAGUCUACGAAAUGACGCAGACACCUGCAUUGAAGACAGGGAUAGAGGAAGAGGAAACCCAGUCCUAUCUCAUAUCCAGCAUACUGGGUGUUCUUGCUACAGUCAUCGUUGUGGCCAUUUUGUCUUAUCUUAUAAGAAAGUAUAUAACUUCAAAAAGAAACCAACACACAGGGGUGCCCCAGCAGGACGAUUUCAUUUCUUCUCCAUAAGAAAUGAAAGAAAGUUUUCAUCCUUUCUUUCUUACAGAACUCUGUUGGAAGGACGUUGGUCAGAUGGUGGCAAGUCCACUGAUCUAUAACUGGGACUAUUAACUCUUUGUGAGUCAAUUACUAAAGCUUGGUGGCAGCUUUGUGCACAUGUAUUGUGUACAUAUCUGUAUGAACAAACUCUUUAUCCAUAGAGUGAUUGAGUGCUGACUUGUUGCUAUGACCAAAUUUAACACAGUUAAGUGUUAAUGUUUUGUAUAUGCAUACUGCAUUUGUUGUAAAUGAAAGGUAUUCCUCAUCGUACUUUUUAUUAUGAAUUUAUCUACAACUUUCAACGAGGGCCAUUUGCGGUCCUGAGACCCACAUUUAUUUAUUCAGUUUUGUUAUGGUGUUUAACACUAGUGAUCCACAUUAAAAUCUAAAUCUAUUCACGUUUGAUAGCUGCUUUCACAUGGCAUAGAUGACAUAUCAAUUAAAGGUGUACGUUGAAAUGCAAUUACAUUAAACUUGUCUAGAGGACGUGUGUGAAGAAGAGUCUUCUUUCAGAUCAAUUGGGAGAGGAGUACCACCUGGCACUUUGCUUGACACCCAAGUAAUACGAAGGGUGCAAUAACGACCAAACAUCAGUUUGCAUUCCGUUUCUAUGGUAACCAGUGUUGGGUUGGUUAGAUUGAAUAAUUAACUGUUUCCCAAUUACUGUAGCCAUGACAUUUGAUUAAUUACAUUUAGUUUAUUUUUGGGAUCUGUUAUAGGUGAGGGGGGGCACUGUAACUUCAAGUUCUACAGUGAUUUGUAGGGAUGGGAGCUUUGAUUAGACGAAAAAACGUCAGGAUGUAUCUCUAUCAAUGAGACAUUCAAAACACUGACACGUCUUUGUCCUUAUUUACCUUGAAGAAGCAAGUUUGGGAUAACUCACAUUAAUGAUGACUGGGAGGAUGCAAAUCAUUGCACUCUCUUUUUUUUCUUUUUUUACAACACGUCUAUUCAGUGCUGUUUCUUCGUGUAAAACCGUAUUCAAGCAAUUCUGCUUACAUAGUGUUUUUGUGAAUGACAUCAUGACCUGUAUGUAUAAUUUUAAAACCAUUAUUUUUGACGAGUUCUGAUAAAUGAACAAGAGCUAAUUCAAGCUAGAGCUGCAAACUUAGAUCAAAAUUUUGAAUAUUGGUGAACUGUGGACAUGAAUCAGUUCAUUUUAACCUGAGGGAACUGAAUUCAGAACCAGAUCUUUAUAAGGGUGAACUGGGAACAAACUCAGCACAGCAAUGACACGGAUAUCAUUCAUUUCAGCCGUCUGAAUAUCACAUUAGUCCACGUCUACGUCGAGAAAGCAGCGGGAUUUGCUAACUGUGUUACUGAAGGCUGACUAAUAUGCAAUACACACCAAUAUCAAUGUAUUUCUAUGUUUUUUUAUGUAAUUAAACACUAAUGUUACUUUGUGUAAUCAUCACUAAAAUUAUUUUAUGUGUCUCUGAUGAAUUUGUAAAAAAAUAAUUUGAAAUGUAAAUAAACAGUUUUGAUAACUUUUCCUCUCAAGCA